AACCAUAGAAACCUGCGGAGUACCUGCGGAGGGAUCAUUACCGAGUGCGGGUCCCCUCGCGGGGCCCAACCUCCCACCCGUGUCUACCGUCACCUGUUGCUUCGGCGGGCCCGCCUUCGUGCCGCCGGGGGGCCCUCUGCGCCCCCGGGCCCGCGCCCGCCGAAGACUCUAGGAACACUGAAUGAAGGAUGCCGUCAGAGUCAAACGACACAAUCGUUAAAACUUUUAACAACGGAUCUC
rnacentral:misc_RNA from 1 species